rnacentral:tRNA from 2 species
UCCGCAGUAGCUCAAUGGUAGAGCAAAUCGCUGUUAACGAUAAGGUUGUAGGUUCGAAUCCUACCUGCGGAG